CUGUUGACGUUUUGAUUGCUGCGUUCAUUGAAUUUCAAUAUCUGUCAGUGGUGAUGCAAAACAGUGUUUACAAUAUUGGCGCAUCUGUUUCUAUGAACGAACGAGAUGAAAUGCCAUCAAUAUGCAAGUUCUCUUGAUAUACCGUCCGGGAAGAGUGCUGAAUUGGUCAAGGAUGCGUAUAAUAUUGGAGAUUGAGCAAGAAGCACAGAAUCCGCUGGAUGUGUUUUUUCCAAGUUAACAGCAAUUGUUGCUGUCUGUUGUUAUCAGCGAGCCGAAAUAAGUAUGUUAGAUAGCCUAAGAUUGGAUAAUUCUGGUCAGAUUUCCCGGGAAACCGUUAUCAUCCCUGAUUCUCGAUUGUACCAUGUGCGAAGGUGCGGUCUGCGAAUAUGUGACCCCUAGGAGAAUUUUUCAUAUUUAGCGUUAGUGUAUACAUAAAUCAUUCUUUAGAAGAAUUGUUGAAAAUUUUUCUGUUUUCUUUAUAUAAUUCUUUUCGGCUGUAUUCUUAUUUCAAUGAUUUU